rnacentral:misc_RNA from 1 species
CAUUUUCUUUUUCCCCCCCAGNCGGGGCCCACGGCGUCUUGGCUCAAACCCCUCUCGGCAUUUGCCGACGCUGUGGGGCUCGGAAGGAGUUUUCCGGAAAGUACUCACGGGCCCCGUGAUUCCAUCGGGAAUCAAAAGUUAUUGAGAAAUUCAUAUUUUUCGUAUUUCGACGUACGCGAGUAGCGUUCUUUCAAUUGCUCGGAAACCGCGGGGACGGGCGCCUUGAAAGGGGGAAGUUGCACACUGGAGACAUUUCUGGAGAGGAGGGUUCAAGUAAAUUUGCAAUGCA